rnacentral:rRNA from 1 species
GACGUAGGAGGCGAGCGUUGUCCGGAUUCAUUGGGCGUAAAGAGCACGCAGGCGGUUUGGCAAGUCGGAUGUGAAAACCCGGAGCUCAACUCCGGACCUGCAUCCGAAACUGCCCGACUAGAGGUAGGUAGGGGAGAUCGGAAUUCCUGGUGUAGCGGUGAAAUGCGCAGAUAUCAGGAGGAACACCCGUGGCGAAGGCGGCGCCCUGGUCCGUUACUGACGCUGAGACGCGAAAGCGCGGGGAGCGAACGGG